rnacentral:rRNA from 1 species
UACGUAGGGUGCGAGCGUUGUCCGGAAUUAUUGGGCGUAAAGAGCUCGUAGGCGGUUUGUCGCGUCGGCCGUGAAAACUUGGGGCUUAACUCCAAGCUUGCGGUCGAUACGGGCAGACUUGAGUUUGGCAGAGGAGACUGGAAUUCCUGGUGUAGCAGUGAAAUGCGUAGAUAUCAGGAGGAAUACCGAUGGCGAAGGCAGGUCUCUGGGCUAUAACUGACGCUCAUGCACGAAAGCGUGGGGAGCAAACAGG